CCCUUAGAUGUUCUGGACUGCACGCGCGCUACACUGAAGCUAUCAACACGUUUUCCCUCCCUGAGAAGGGCGGGUAACCUUUUGAAUCAGCUUCGUGGUAGGGAUCGGGGCUUGCAAUUGUUCCCCGUGAACCAGGAAUUCCUAGUAGACGCGAGUCAUAAGCUCGCAUCGAUUAAGUCCCUGCCCUUUGUACACACCGCCCGUCGCUACUACCGAUUGAACGUUUUAGUGAGGCAUUUGGACCGACGCAUCUCAGUUUAACCGCUGGUUUGUGUUGGAAAGACUUCCAAACUUGAGCGUUUAGAGGAAGUGAAAGUCGUAACA
rnacentral:rRNA from 1 species